GACGGAGGGUGCAAGCGUUGUUCGGAAUUACUGGGCGUAAAGGGCGCGUAGGCGGUCUGUUAAGUUCGGUGUGAAAGCCCCCGGCUCACCUGGGGAACUGCGCCGGAAACCGACAGACUCGAGUACCGGAGAGGAGUGUGGAAUUCCUGGUGUAGCGGUGAAAUGCGUAGAUAUCAGGAGGAACACCGGUGGCGAAGGCGGCCCUCUGGACGGAUACUGACGCUGAGGCGCGAAAGCGUGGGGAUCAAACAGG
rnacentral:rRNA from 1 species